GGUUAAGCGACUAAGCGUACACGGUGGAUGCCCUGGCAGUCAGAGGCGAUGAAGGACGUGCUAAUCUGCGAUAAGCGUCGGUAAGGUGAUAUGAACCGUUAUAACCGGCGAUUUCCGAAUGGGGAAACCCAGUGUGAUUCGUCACACUAUCAUUAACUGAAUCCAUAGGUUAAUGAGGCGAACCGGGGGAACUGAAACAUCUAAGUACCCCGAGGAAAAGAAAUCAACCGAGAUUCCCCAAGUAGCGGCGAGCGAACGGGGAGCAGCCCAGAGCCUGAAUCAGUGUGUGUGUUAGUGGAAGCGUCUGGAAAGGCGCGCGAUACAGGGUGACAGCCCCGUACACAAAAAUGCACAUACUGUGAGCUCGAUGAGUAGGGCGGGACACGUGGUAUCCUGUCUGAAUAUGGGGGGACCAUCCUCCAAGGCUAAAUACUCCUGACUGACCGAUAGUGAACCAGUACCGUGAGGGAAAGGCGAAAAGAACCCCGGCGAGGGGAGUGAAAAAGAACCUGAAACCGUGUACGUACAAGCAGUGGGAGCACGCUUAGGCGUGUGACUGCGUACCUUUUGUAUAAUGGGUCAGCGACUUAUAUUCUGUAGCAAGGUUAACCGAAUAGGGGAGCCGAAGGGAAACCGAGUCUUAACUGGGCGUUAAGUUGCAGGGUAUAGACCCGAAACCCGGUGAUCUAGCCAUGGGCAGGUUGAAGGUUGGGUAACACUAACUGGAGGACCGAACCGACUAAUGUUGAAAAAUUAGCGGAUGACUUGUGGCUGGGGGUGAAAGGCCAAUCAAACCGGGAGAUAGCUGGUUCUCCCCGAAAGCUAUUUAGGUAGCGCCUCGUGAAUUCAUCUCCGGGGGUAGAGCACUGUUUCGGCAAGGGGGUCAUCCCGACUUACCAACCCGAUGCAAACUGCGAAUACCGGAGAAUGUUAUCACGGGAGACACACGGCGGGUGCUAACGUCCGUCGUGAAGAGGGAAACAACCCAGACCGCCAGCUAAGGUCCCAAAGUCAUGGUUAAGUGGGAAACGAUGUGGGAAGGCCCAGACAGCCAGGAUGUUGGCUUAGAAGCAGCCAUCAUUUAAAGAAAGCGUAAUAGCUCACUGGUCGAGUCGGCCUGCGCGGAAGAUGUAACGGGGCUAAACCAUGCACCGAAGCUGCGGCAGCGACGCUUAUGCGUUGUUGGGUAGGGGAGCGUUCUGUAAGCCUGUGAAGGUGUGCUGUGAGGCAUGCUGGAGGUAUCAGAAGUGCGAAUGCUGACAUAAGUAACGAUAAAGCGGGUGAAAAGCCCGCUCGCCGGAAGACCAAGGGUUCCUGUCCAACGUUAAUCGGGGCAGGGUGAGUCGACCCCUAAGGCGAGGCCGAAAGGCGUAGUCGAUGGGAAACAGGUUAAUAUUCCUGUACUUGGUGUUACUGCGAAGGGGGGACGGAGAAGGCUAUGUUGGCCGGGCGACGGUUGUCCCGGUUUAAGCGUGUAGGCUGGUUUUCCAGGCAAAUCCGGAAAAUCAAGGCUGAGGCGUGAUGACGAGGCACUACGGUGCUGAAGCAACAAAUGCCCUGCUUCCAGGAAAAGCCUCUAAGCAUCAGGUAACAUCAAAUCGUACCCCAAACCGACACAGGUGGUCAGGUAGAGAAUACCAAGGCGCUUGAGAGAACUCGGGUGAAGGAACUAGGCAAAAUGGUGCCGUAACUUCGGGAGAAGGCACGCUGAUAUGUAGGUGAAGUCCCUCGCGGAUGGAGCUGAAAUCAGUCGAAGAUACCAGCUGGCUGCAACUGUUUAUUAAAAACACAGCACUGUGCAAACACGAAAGUGGACGUAUACGGUGUGACGCCUGCCCGGUGCCGGAAGGUUAAUUGAUGGGGUCAGCGCAAGCGAAGCUCUUGAUCGAAGCCCCGGUAAACGGCGGCCGUAACUAUAACGGUCCUAAGGUAGCGAAAUUCCUUGUCGGGUAAGUUCCGACCUGCACGAAUGGCGUAAUGAUGGCCAGGCUGUCUCCACCCGAGACUCAGUGAAAUUGAACUCGCUGUGAAGAUGCAGUGUACCCGCGGCAAGACGGAAAGACCCCGUGAACCUUUACUAUAGCUUGACACUGAACAUUGAGCCUUGAUGUGUAGGAUAGGUGGGAGGCUUAGAAGUGUGGACGCCAGUCUGCAUGGAGCCGACCUUGAAAUACCACCCUUUAAUGUUUGAUGUUCUAACGUUGACCCGUAAUCCGGGUUGCGGACAGUGUCUGGUGGGUAGUUUGACUGGGGCGGUCUCCUCCUAAAGAGUAACGGAGGAGCACGAAGGUUGGCUAAUCCUGGUCGGACAUCAGGAGGUUAGUGCAAUGGCAUAAGCCAGCUUGACUGCGAGCGUGACGGCGCGAGCAGGUGCGAAAGCAGGUCAUAGUGAUCCGGUGGUUCUGAAUGGAAGGGCCAUCGCUCAACGGAUAAAAGGUACUCCGGGGAUAACAGGCUGAUACCGCCCAAGAGUUCAUAUCGACGGCGGUGUUUGGCACCUCGAUGUCGGCUCAUCACAUCCUGGGGCUGAAGUAGGUCCCAAGGGUAUGGCUGUUCGCCAUUUAAAGUGGUACGCGAGCUGGGUUUAGAACGUCGUGAGACAGUUCGGUCCCUAUCUGCCGUGGGCGCUGGAGAACUGAGGGGGGGCUGCUCCUAGUACGAGAGGACCGGAGUGGACGCAUCACUGGUGUUCGGGUUGUCAUGCCAAUGGCACUGCCCGGUAGCUAAAUGCGGAAGAGAUAAGUGCUGAAAGCAUCUAAGCACGAAACUUGCCCCGAGAUGAGUUCUCCCUGACCCUUUAAGGGUCCUGAAGGAACGUUGAAGACGACGACGUUGAUAGGCCGGGUGUGUAAGCGCAGCGAUGCGUUGAGCUAACCGGUACUAAUGAACCGUGAGGCUUAACCUU
rnacentral:rRNA from 1 species